rnacentral:rRNA from 1 species
AGAGUUUGAUCAUGGCUCAGAUUGAACGCUGGCGGCAGGCCUAACACAUGCAAGUCGAGCGGAAGAAGGGGGCUUGCUCCCGGAUUCAGCGGCGGACGGGUGAGUAACGCGUAGGAAUCUACCUAAUAGUGGGGGAUAACGUUUCGAAAGGAACGCUAAUACCGCAUACGUUCUGAGGAAGAAAGCAGGGGAUCGCAAGACCUUGCGCUAUUAGAUGAGCCUGCGUCCGAUUAGCUAGUUGGUGGGGUAAAGGCCUACCAAGGCGACGAUCGGUAACUGGUCUGAGAGGAUGAUCAGUCACACUGGAACUGAGACACGGUCCAGACUCCUACGGGAGGCAGCAGUGGGGAAUAUUGGACAAUGGGGGCAACCCUGAUCCAGCCAUGCCGCGUGUGUGAAGAAGGCCUUCGGGUUGUAAAGCACUUUAAGCGGGGAGGAAGGCUCUAUGGCUAAUAUCCAUGGGGAUUGACGUUACCCGCAGAAUAAGCACCGGCAAACUUCGUGCCAGCAGCCGCGGUAAUACGAAGGGUGCGAGCGUUAAUCGGAAUUACUGGGCGUAAAGCGCGCGUAGGUGGUUUGGUAAGCGAUAUGUGAAAUCCCCGGGCUUAACCUGGGAACUGCAUGUCGAACUGCCAGGCUAGAGUAUGGUAGAGGGGUGUGGAAUUUCCUGUGUAGCGGUGAAAUGCGUAGAUAUAGGAAGGAACAUCAGUGGCGAAGGCGACACCCUGGACCGAUACUGACACUGAGGCGCGAAAGCGUGGGUAGCGAACAGGAUUAGAUACCCUGGUAGUCCACGCCGUAAACGAUGUCAACUAGCCGUUGGGGGGCUUGUCCCUUCAGUGGCGGAGCUAACGCGAUAAGUUGACCGCCUGGGGAGUACGGCCGCAAGGUUAAAACUCAAAUGAAUUGACGGGGGCCCGCACAAGCGGUGGAGUAUGUGGUUUAAUUCGACGCAACGCGAAAAACCUUACCCGGUCUUGACAUCCUGGGAACUCGCUAGAGAUAGCUUGGUGCCGCAAGGAGCCCAGAGACAGGUGCUGCAUGGCUGUCGUCAGCUCGUGUCGUGAGAUGUUGGGUUAAGUCCCGCAACGAGCGCAACCCUUGUCCUUAGUUGCCAGCAUUCAGUUGGGCACUCUAAGGAGACUGCCGGUGACAAACCGGAGGAAGGUGGGGACGACGUCAAGUCAUCAUGGCCCUUACGACCGGGGCUACACACGUACUACAAUGGAGCGCACAGAGGGUCGCAAUGCCGCGAGGCGGAGCCAAUCCCACAAAACGUUUCGUAGUCCGGAUCGGAGUCUGCAACUCGACUCCGUGAAGUCGGAAUCGCUAGUAAUCGCGGAUCAGCAUGUCGCGGUGAAUACGUUCCCGGGCCUUGUACACACCGCCCGUCACACCAUGGGAGUUUACUGCACCAGAAGCCGGUAGCUUAACCGCAAGGGGGGCGCCGUCCACGGUGUGGUCGAUGACUGGGGUGAAGUCGUAACAAGGUAGCCGUAGGGGAACCUGCGGCUG